AUGGAAUGGAGCUGGGUCAUCCUCUUCCUCCUGUCAGUAACUACAGGUGUCCAUACUCAGGUCCAGCUGAAGCAGUCGGGGGCUGAGCUGAGGAGACCUGGGUCCUCAGUGAAGUUGUCCUGCAAAGCUUCUGGCUACACCUUCACAGACUACUAUAUGCACUGGGUGAAGCAGAAGCCUGGACAUGUCAUGGAGUGGAUUGGACGGAUUGGUGGUGGAAGUGGUAGUACUUACUACAAUCAGAAGUUCCAGGGCAAGGCCACACUGACUGUAGACAAAUCCUCCAGCACAGCCUACAUGGAUCUCAGCGGUCUGACAUCUGAGGACGCUGCGGUCUAUUACUGUGCGAGAGACACAGUGCUGCAACCACAUCCUGAGAUUGUUGAAAAGCCUGGAGGAGCAGGAAGCUGCCCUGGGACUGAGAUGAAAGGGGAGAUAAGCCUGGAGAUUUGCUCAGAAAAAAAAUUUUUGAGCAUUCAUUUUUCUGCUCUUUUCACAGUCUUCUAG